UAUUUAUUUUUAUUUUUUUUAAAAUCAAAAUCAAACUACACUUUGAUGUAAAUUGUUUUCACAACACUGGACCCAAAAUACUAAAGCAAAGCCCACAUUGAAAAUCAAAAUUUCCAAAGACCAAUCCCAAUCAUUACACAAUAUGGAGCCCAGAAUGUUAACCCAAAUUAAAAAUAAAUGCUAACUCACAAAACCAAGCUCAGAAUACUGAGGCACGGCCCAAUAUGAAAAUCAAAUACCCACUACCCAAACAAAUCCUUCCAUCCAUGUCUACCGGAUCUGGAGAAAAUCGUGGGUUGAGUGGAAUCGUGGUUCGAGUGGCACUGGGGUGUCGGUGGUUGCGGCUGCUUGGAAAUUGGAGGUCGAAGUAGCACCUGGCGAAAGUAGAUAAAGGUUUCUUGUGCGUGAAAUUUCUGGUUGGACCAGGGUUCUAUGUUUAUUGUGAUAGGCACGGUGGUUUAAGAGUAGUGUGUUGGGUUGACAUAUGGUUGUGGGGGUUGCGAUCUUGUUGAUGAAGAUGAUGAUUCAAUUGGGUAAGUGACUUCGCACAAUAAAUUGUGAAAUUUUGGUGGUGACGGGUUGUGGGUUGUGGGGUUCUGUUGAUCGUGGGCAGUUAUUGCUUAGUGGGGAUUGUAGAUGGUGGAGGAGGUUCCGGGUGUUGAGUGAAUUUCGAGUGUUGUGGAAGGACGUGGUGGUUUCUCUAUGCUCGAGAUGGGUUCUGUUGGAUUUGUAUGUGUUUCUUGUAGAUGUGUGGAAGUUACUUGUGGGCUGGGGAAUUGUGUAUUGGGUAGUUCAAGGGAAGUGGUGGUGGACAGGAACAGACGCAGAGAAGGUGGAGGUGGUGAUUGGGUUCUGAAGCAAUGACUUUGAAGUUUUCAUUUUGAACAGGAUAAUACUGGAGUGUGGUUGAUGAGCUAUGCAUUGCACGUAGGAGAACUUUUCGAUCGUAGAAGAGAUGAACACCUAAAAUACUUUUCAAGUUUAGCUCUGAUACCAAAAAUUGAUGUAGAAUCACUUGAGAAGAAGAAUUAGGCAGCACCGAAAGAAGGGAAAGGCAGAGGGGAGGAAGAAGAAGAGAAAAGGAGAGGGGAAAGUGAGGGAGAGGGAAGAGACGUGGACAAACCACCAAAGAAAAUGUCUUUCAUUCAUCAACUGAACUUUCAAUCCCAAUUACAAUAAUAUAAAUAAAAAAAUAAUAAACUUGGGUUUGGGCCAAAUCCAUAUACAAGCCUAAUGAGAGUUAAAGUCCAAAAUAAGUAAAUGGAAGAUAAAAUGGCCUAACACAUGGCCCGAUGAGGAUGAUGUCCGCAUCAGUCGUCUUGAGCUAUCACCAAUAACUUGCAUUUUUCAUGUGAUGUUGGCAUCUGGGUUGCAAGUGCUGUUAUCUACUUUGAAUUGCUAGUCCUUCUUUUUUUCUAAGUAAAAUUUUUGAAAUUCUUAAAGAUGAAGCACAUACUUUUUUUUCUACUGAUUGUAUAUGUACAAAUUGCAAGGAAACACUAGCUUUUUCUUGUAUAAUUAUAGUUCAAUUAAUCUACUUGUACAAAGUAGGUUAACAAAAUUUGUUGACAAAAUCAAUGUUGGCAAGAUCUAGGCUGUUAAUCUGUUUUGAAUUCAAAAAUUGUUUUUGAAAUGAGUGAUAAAGAUAUUGCCAACUCAUACUUUGUCAACCAACUUUGUCAUCCUCUUUUGUAGGUGUAGCAUCACUCAUUAUGGUUUAGAUUGCUAUUUCUAUGUCAGGUUUUAAAUAUUUCUUUUGCUUGAUUUAAAUUAUGUUUUGCGAGGCAUUAAGGCUGAAGCUCAUGCUAACAAGGACUUUCUAGUAUAUCCGAUGAUACAAGUGAUUGUGUUAUUUUGUUCUCAUUGCUUUAAUUGUUGCUUUAUUUCAACUAAACAACAUAAAUCUUAACUCAAGGUCAGAAUUCCCAGUCGAUAUCAGCUGGCUGAAUUUUAGCUUUCUGUAUUUGGGAACCUUUGCCCAGAAACAAUAGAGGAAGCUCUUUCCAUGGUCCCGUCUAUCAAGACUCGAGGACAAGCUCACGAUGAUUAUGCAAUUGAAAAAAUGCUCAAUGAUCUCUCUGAUCAAAAAAUUCAAAUAAGUGUCAUUUUACUCUGUAAUUUGGUCUGAAAGCAUUAGGGGCUUCCAUUUACCUUUCUAAUUACAGUUUUGUGUAGUCUAUUUCAAUGACUAACAUGCCAUUUAUAUAAGUUAAUUCUUCUCUCUUUCU